rnacentral:rRNA from 1 species
AUUGAACGCUGGCGGCAGGCCUAACACAUGCAAGUCGAACGCAUCGCAAGAUGAGUGGCAGACGGGUGAGUAACGCGUGGGAAUAUACCCUUUUCUACGGAAUAGCUCUGGGAAACUGGAAUUAAUACCGUAUACGCCCUACGGGGGAAAGAUUUAUCGGGGAAGGAUUGGCCCGCGUUGGAUUAGCUAGUUGGUGGGGUAAAGGCCUACCAAGGCGACGAUCCAUAGCUGGUCUGAGAGGAUGAUCAGCCACAUUGGGACUGAGACACGGCCCAAACUCCUACGGGAGGCAGCAGUGGGGAAUAUUGGACAAUGGGCGCAAGCCUGAUCCAGCCAUGCCGCGUGAGUGAUGAAGGCCUUAGGGUUGUAAAGCUCUUUCACCGAUGAAGAUAAUGACGGUAGUCGGAGAAGAAGCCCCGGCUAACUUCGUGCCAGCCGCCGCAGUAACAC